UCAGAAGGUACAGAAGUGAAAUAUCUC
rnacentral:piRNA from 1 species